rnacentral:rRNA from 1 species
GACGAACGCUGGCGGCGUGGAUUAGGCAUGCAAGUCGAACGGUAGGAUCCUUUCGGGGAUCUGAGAGUGGCGAACGGGUGAGUAACACGUAGGUGAUCUACCCUCAAGACGGGGACAACCCAGGGAAACUUGGGCUAAUACCGGAUGUGAGCUAUCGCGAGAUAGUUUGAAAGGUGGCUUCGGCUGCCGCUUGAGGAUGAGCCUGCGUCCUAUUAGCUAGUUGGUGAGGUAACGGCUCACCGAGGCAGUGAUAGGUAGGCGGCCUUAACGGGUGGUCGCCCACACUGGGAUUGAGAUACGGCCCAGACUCCUACGGGAGGCAGCAGUCGAGAAUAGUCUACAAUGGUCGAAAGACUGAUAGUGCGACGCCGCGUGAACGAAGAAGCCCUUCGGGGUGUAAAGUUCUUUUAUAUGUGAGCAGUGCUUCUUAUAUUAACAGUAUGGGGAGAGAGAUAUUAGCAUAUGAAUAAGCAACGGCUAACUCCGUG